GAUGAACGCUAGCUACAGGCUUAACACAUGCAAGUCGAGGGGUAACGAGAGGAAAGCUUGCUUUCCUUGUCGACGACCGGCGCACGGGUGAGUAACGCGUAUCCAACCUGCCCCCAACUAGGGAAUAACCUUGCGAAAGUAAGACUAAUACCCUAUAAUUUCCUCAGAUGUCAUCUGACGAGGAAUAAAGAUUUAUCGGUUGUGUAUGGGGAUGCGCCUGAUUAGCUUGUUGGCGGGGUAACGGCCCACCAAGGCAACGAUCAGUAGGGGUUCUGAGAGGAAGGUCCCCCACAGUGGAACUGAGACACGGUCCAAGCUCCUACGGGAGGCAGCAGUGAGGAAUAUUGGUCAAUGGGCGGAAGCCUGAACCAGCCAAGUAGCGUGCAGGAUGACGGCCCUAUGGGUUGUAAACUGCUUUUAUACAGGAAUAAAGUUAGCCACGUGUGGUUAUUUGUAGGUACUGUAUGAAUAAGGACCGGCUAAUUCCGUGCCAGCAGCCGCGGUAA
rnacentral:rRNA from 1 species